rnacentral:rRNA from 1 species
GACGUAGGAGGCGAGCGUUAUCCGGAUUCACUGGGCGUAAAGCGCAUGUAGGCGGUUCGUUAAGUCCGCUGUUAAAGCCCCCGGCUCAACUGGGGGAGGUCAGUGGAGACUAUCGGACUUGAGGGCAACAGAGGCACGUGGAACUCCCGGUGUAGCGGUGGAAUGCGUAGAGAUCGGGAAGAACACCAGUGGCGAAGGCGACGUGCUGGGCAGUAGCUGACACUGAGGCGCGACAGCGUGGGGAGCAAACAGG